rnacentral:rRNA from 1 species
AACCUGCCCAUGAGUGGGGGAUAACGGGCCGAAAGGCUCGCUAAUCCCGCAUACGAUCCGCUUCGGUGGAGGAAAGCCGUAAGGCGCUCAUGGAGGGGGCCGCGCCCCAUUAGAUCGUUGGUGUGGCAAUGGCGCACCAAGUCUGUGGUGGGUUCCGGGUCUGAGAGGACGAUCCGGCAGACUGGGACUGAGACACGGCCCAGACUCCUGCGGGGGGCAGCAGCAAGGAAUUUUCCCCAAUGGGCGCAAGCCUGAGGGAGCAACGCCGCGUGGAG